rfam:Schistosoma curassoni strain Dakar, Senegal genome assembly, scaffold: SCTD_scaffold0001721
GCACUGCUGAGGAGUCCCACAACAGGACGAAAUGUUCAUCCAAUGU